AGAGUUUGAUCCUGGCUCAGGACGAACGCUGGCGGCGUGCCUAAUACAUGCAAGUCGAACGCUUCUUUUUCCACCGGAGCUUGCUCCACCGGAAAAAGAGGAGUGGCGAACGGGUGAGUAACACGUGGGUAACCUGCCCAUCAGAAGGGGAUAACACUUGGAAACAGGUGCUAAUACCGUAUAACAAUCGAAACCGCAUGGUUUUGAUUUGAAAGGCGCUUUCGGGUGUCGCUGAUGGAUGGACCCGCGGUGCAUUAGCUAGUUGGUGAGGUAACGGCUCACCAAGGCCACGAUGCAUAGCCGACCUGAGAGGGUGAUCGGCCACAUUGGGACUGAGACACGGCCCAAACUCCUACGGGAGGCAGCAGUAGGGAAUCUUCGGCAAUGGACGAAAGUCUGACCGAGCAACGCCGCGUGAGUGAAGAAGGUUUUCGGAUCGUAAAACUCUGUUGUUAGAGAAGAACAAGGAUGAGAGUAACUGUUCAUCCCUUGACGGUAUCUAACCAGAAAGCCACGGCUAACUACGUGCCAGCAGCCGCGGUAAUACGUAGGUGGCAAGCGUUGUCCGGAUUUAUUGGGCGUAAAGCGAGCGCAGGCGGUUUCUUAAGUCUGAUGUGAAAGCCCCCGGCUCAACCGGGGAGGGUCAUUGGAAACUGGGAGACUUGAGUGCAGAAGAGGAGAGUGGAAUUCCAUGUGUAGCGGUGAAAUGCGUAGAUAUAUGGAGGAACACCAGUGGCGAAGGCGGCUCUCUGGUCUGUAACUGACGCUGAGGCUCGAAAGCGUGGGGAGCAAACAGGAUUAGAUACCCUGGUAGUCCACGCCGUAAACGAUGAGUGCUAAGUGUUGGAGGGUUUCCGCCCUUCAGUGCUGCAGCUAACGCAUUAAGCACUCCGCCUGGGGAGUACGACCGCAAGGUUGAAACUCAAAGGAAUUGACGGGGGCCUGCACAAGCGGUGGAGCAUGUGGUUUAAUUCGAAGCAACGCGAAGAACCUUACCAGGUCUUGACAUCCUUUGACCACUCUAGAGAUAGAGCUUCCCCUUCGGGGGCAAAGUGACAGGUGGUGCAUGGUUGUCGUCAGCUCGUGUCGUGAGAUGUUGGGUUAAGUCCCGCAACGAGCGUAACCCUUAUUGUUAGUUGCCAUCAUUCAGUUGGGCACUCUAGCAAGACUGCCGGUGACAAACCGGAGGAAGGUGGGGAUGACGUCAAAUCAUCAUGCCCCUUAUUGAACUGAACCCCAAAAGUUGAACUAUUUAAUGGACUGUUUCCGAUAUUCUACUGGAGAUAGUCCAUUUAACUUUAGUUUUAUCCUUUUGUUAUUAUACCACCUAAUAUACUCAUUUAAUUUACUUUGAAAUAUCUCAAUUGAUCGGAAUUUUUCUCGAUAAAAAAACUCUGAUUUAAGCACACCAAAAAAAUUUUCUAUUACAGAAUUAUCUAAGCAAUUUCCUUUUCUAGACAUGCUUUGAAUAAUGUUAUUCUCUUUUAAUUUUUUUUGAUAUUGUGGCAUCUGAUACUGCCAUCCUUGAUCUGAAUGUAGAAUCAGUGAACCCUCAGUUCCCUUUUUUUUAAUUGCUUGUUGAAGCAUUUCUUCAAUCAGUUUAUAUGUUGGACUAGUUGAUAUACUAUAACUAAUUAUUUCUCCGUUAAAUAAAUCAAGUAUAGGAGAUAGAUAGAUUUUUCUUCCUUUUAUCUUGAAUUCAGUGACGUCUGUCACCCAUUUUUUAUUGGGUGUAUCUACUGAAAAAUUUCGUUUUAACACAUUCUUGGCAAUUUUUCCUACUGUUCCUUUAUAAGAUUUAUAUCGCUUUAUUCGGAUUUGACAGGUAAGUCCCAUUUGGGACAUUAAUUUUCUAACUGUUUUAUGAUUGAUUGUAUAUCCUUUCAUCUUUAACGCUAAAGUGACUCUACGAUAACCAUAAGAGUUUCUUGAUUCUUUUACAAUCGCUGUAAUUUCUUGCUUUAUCUUGCUAUAUUUAUCUGGCUUAUCUAAUUUUUUUACCCAGUAAUAAUAAGUUGACUUCGCUAAUUGUGCAAUUGAAAGUAAUAGAUUCAAUUUAAAUUCUUUUUUGAGCUGAAGGAUUGUUUUAACCUUGAUUUCUUCUUGCUCAAAUCUUGUUCUUGAAUCAAGGUUUCUAACUUUUUUAAAUAUGCGUUCUCUGCUCUUAAACGAAUAACUUCUUCUUCAAGAGACUCAUCUUUAAGUUUUUUAGGAAUGUUUAGCUUGGAAUUCAUACUAAUUUUUCUGCCCCUUUUUUGGCUCUCAAGUGAAGAAGCACCGCCUUCUUCAUAUUGCUCUAUCCAUUUACUUAGAGUUCUAUUUGAACCGAUAUUAAAUUUUUUAGCAGUUUCUUGGAUAGAAAGACCAUUUGUUUCCAUAUAUUCUAUAACAUCAAGUUUAAAUUUUGUAGUGUAGCUUUUGCCACCUCCAACCAAGCCUUCCCAACCAUGAUAGUUAUAAAUCCUUACCCAAUGUCUAACCAGUGUACGAUUUAUUUGAUAUUUAUGUGCAAGAUAU
rnacentral:rRNA from 1 species